UACGUAGGGCGCGAGCGUUAUCCGGAAUUAUUGGGCGGAAAGAGCUCGUAGGCGGUUUGUCGCGUCUGCCGUGAAAGUCCGGGGCUCAACUCCGGAUCUGCGGUGGGUACGGGCAGACUAGAGUGAUGUAGGGGAGACUGGAAUUCCUGGUGUAGCGGUGAAAUGCGCAGAUAUCAGGAGGAACACCGGUGGCGAAGGCGGUUCUCUGGGCAUGAUCUGACGCUGAGGAGCGAAAGUGUGGGGAGCGAACAGG
rnacentral:rRNA from 1 species